AGGUUAUUUCCUUGAAAGAUUUUCGACAUAGAACAUGAUGCUGCUUCACAUCCUCUUUUAAAGACUCAAGAAUUACAAGACCAAAUUAAGCUGCAGGACCCUCCUGAUUCAAAAAGACAUGGAACAUGACUCUGCUUCACAUCCUUUGUUUUAGAGACUCAAGAAAUACAAGACCAAAUUAAGGGUUUGUUUUUUUAAUUCCAAUAACAAUUUUCUGG